AUUUGUCCGAUACGUGUGCUGUGCGAAAGAAGAACGGUUGAGUUUCGCGUCGUCAAUGUUCUUGAAACGCGCAGCAGUAUCGUGUUCUGCAUCAGGUACUUCACGAUCGAAUGAUCGAAUCUCAGCGCGAAAAUUAUCAUCAAGUCAAGCGGCCAUUGCACGAUUUUACUCAUGAAUUGAUAACGGGAGUAAAGAUUAUCAGAAUACAUGCGUCGCGAUCAUACGUAAGCGACGUAUCGGCAAUUUUUUCUCAUUUCUUUGUGUCUGUUUACAUUGUCAUUCAGUAGCAACAUAACCUCAACUAAAAUUGUAAAAUCGGAUCCGCUUCUCUAAAAAUAUUACCGAGAUAAGUUCUAUUUCAAAUUGAUAAUUCAACGUGAACGCCAUGUAAUAAAGCAUCAUUUCUGCGCAUGAAAUGUUAAUGACAUCACAAAUCAAACGAUGUCACGUAACGACGAACCAUUUCUUUCGUUCUUGUUUUGUUUGUGUGAACUUCCCGCGAAUCAGGAAAUGACGGAUAAAACUUCUCCGGUGGGUAGAUCGUAAACCGCCGACAUUCCUUGUCCUGCGAACCAUAUACAUGGAAAGAUUUGUCUAAUAAGAGAGAAAGAGAAAGAAAAAUGUGAAACUGAGGAUGAGAGUGAGAAACCAUGCAAGAAAGAGACAGAAAUAUUAUACGUCAUGAAGUAAUGAAGCACGCUG